AACGCACAUUGCGCCCUUUGGUAUUCCGAAGGGCAUGCCUGUUCGAGCGUCAUUUUCACCCCUCAAGCCCCCGGCUUGGUGUUGGAGGCCCUGGUCGGGCGACUGACCCCUCCCAAAGACAAUGACGGCGGCCCGCUUCGACCCCCGGUACACUGAGCUUCUUAACUGAGCACGUAUCGGAUCAGGCUCGACGGGACCCGGUCUCACACCUAAUUUUUACAAGGUUGACCUCGGAUCAGGUAGGGAUACCCGCUGAACUUAA
rnacentral:misc_RNA from 1 species